UCUGCUGCAACAGAGAUGUUGCCAAGUAGC
rnacentral:piRNA from 1 species